UGGGGAAUAUUGCACAAUGGGGGAAACCCUGAUGCAGCAACGCCGCGUGAGUGAUGACGGCCUUCGGGUUGUAAAGCUCUGUCUUCAGGGACGAUAAUGACGGUACCUGAGGAGGAAGCCACGGCUAACUACGUGCCAGCAGCCGCGGUAAUACGUAGGGGGCGAGCGUUGUCCGGAUUUACUGGGCGUAAAGGGAGCGUAGGCGGACGUUUAAGUGAGAUUGGAAAUACCCGGGCUCAACUUGUGUGCUGCAUUUCAAACUGGAAGUCUAGAGUGCAGGAGAGGAGAAUGGAAUUCCGAGUGUAGCGGUGAAAGGCGUAGAGAUUAGGAAGAACACCAGUGGCGAAGGCGAUUCUCUGGACUGUAACUGACGCUGAGGCUCGAAAGCGUGGGGAGCAAACA
rnacentral:rRNA from 1 species